rnacentral:rRNA from 1 species
UACGUAGGUCGCAAGCGUUGUCCGGAUUUACUGGGCGUAAAGAGCGCGCAGGCGGCUGGUCAAGUCCGAUGUGAAAUCUCCCGGCUCAACUGGGAAACUGCAUCGGAAACUGAUCGGCUUGAAGAUGGGAGAGGGUAGUGGAAUUCCCGGUGUAGUGGUGAAAUGCGUAGAUAUCGGGAGGAACACCGGUGGCGAAGGCGGUUCUCUGGGCAUUACCUGACGCUGAGGAGCGAA